rnacentral:lncRNA from 1 species
GUGGCUGAAGGCAGGAUCUCCCAGACUUUGAUCAGGAAGAGUCUUUGCUGGCAGCGCAUCUAUCAAUGUCUCCAGAACAACGUUCCUCAUGGCACACUGAUCGAACGCGGCCUUCUGACUCACUGGGGCUCUUGGCGCAAGAAGGUGUGUUUGCAUUUCAAAGUCUUACGUUUCCCAACAAAGCCAAGCUCUGAAAACAUGUUUUGCUGUGAUGAAGACCUUUCUGAGAUUCUAAAGGAAAACAAAAGCACAACGAGGUCCUUCCUCAUGAGCGGCAUGAAAUAGAUAUCUACUUCUCAUAAGACAACAAGAUGAUAAGCCCCGUGAGAAACAGCAAACCCUAGUUGUUUUGUGCUUAUUAGAACCGUGAACUUUCUUCCCCUUAACUCUAAGGAUGUGUCUUCCUAAACAAGCGUCUCACGCAGGGUCCUGGUGUCGGUCCUCCCCAAAACUCAGAUUGAUAACUUUCAACACCCAGAAAUUGUUUGAGAACCUGACAACUCCAAGGAUGGCUCCAGAGGUUCCCGUCCUCCUUUGACAACAGUGCCUUCAAGGGCGGGCCCUCAUAUCAAACUGCCUUCUUUGCUCUCAGUCUGAACCCAGUACAAGCAACCCUAACGCUGCCUUGAGCACAAGCGUCUUGAUGGAGGUCAUCUCUGCUGAUCCCCUCCACGUCCUCCUGAACUCUCACUACUCCAUGUUCAUAUUCCCACACAGCCAGCACCCUACUGAUGCUGCCCCUGCUCCUCCUGCUCCACGUGUUCAAAACCAGCCUGAGCAUCCCGCAGCCCCGUCUGACUUCUUCUCCGAGUGGAUGAUGCUGCUGUUCGGCCCGGUCACCGAGAGGAACGUGCUCUUCCUCUCCCUCCUGUUGCAGCGUCUGAGCUUCAGGCACCUCUCACCUCUUACCUGGGCUCCUGGAGGAGCUUCUGUUUGGUCUGCCCAACUCCCGCGUUGCCCCUUCAAAUGCCCCCUCCACUCCGCAGCCACCAUGACCCUCGCUGACCCCCCGCUCUGCUGACGGCAGGUGCCCCCAAGUGUGUUUCCAAGAAGAUGCAAUCAGUGUGCUGUAUUCAGUGUUAUAUGAACACAAAGGUUUUCAUGGUCAUGAAGUUGGAGAAAAGAGGGAAAAUUAGUUAGGUUUAAUUACUUUCCAGAGUCUUCGACAUGCUAAAACACAUUUUGGAGCUCCAACUGGGGGGUGCUUAAUAAAACCUUUGGCAAACUUUCU